GACGAACGCUGGCGGCGUGCUUAACACAUGCAAGUCGAACGGCAGCACGGGAGCUUGCUCCUGGUGGCGAGUGGCGAACGGGUGAGUAAUACAUCGGAACGUACCCUGAAGUGGGGGAUAACGUAGCGAAAGUUGCGCUAAUACCGCAUAUUCUGUGAGCAGGAAAGCAGGGGACGCAAGGCCUUGCGCUCUUUGAGCGGCCGAUGUCAGAUUAGCUAGUUGGUGAGGUAACGGCUUACCAAGGCGACGAUCUGUAGCGGGUCUGAGAGGAUGAUCCGCCACACUGGAACUGAGACACGGUCCAGACUCCUACGGGAGGCAGCAGUGGGGAAUUUUGGACAAUGGGCGCAAGCCUGAUCCAGCCAUUCCGCGUGAGUGAAGAAGGCCUCGG
rnacentral:rRNA from 1 species